rnacentral:lncRNA from 1 species
UCGUCCUCUCAUAAGUGUUCAAGAAAUAGUGGUAACGAUAUAUAGAGGAAUCAUAUAUCAUAACUGCCGUAAAAAUCAUUAAGUCGGUGUUGUGUUGUAUAUGAGGAUUCGGAUAGAUAUGUUUUGGGAAUUCAUUUUUGAAAUCCUUUUUGUGCAUUCGGAUCAACAUCCGAAAUUAGAUAACUUGCCCCCAUAUUUAAUUCCAUUAGUAUAUCCCGAAUUAGACUUAUACCCUUCUGCAGAUCUUUUACAGAAAGUGUUACAAGCACAAUUCCAACGAAAGGAUUUAAUGUGUAGCUCAUUAUCUUACUACGC